UUUUUUUUUUUUUUUUUUGUUCAAAGUCUCUACACUUCUUCUUUUCUUCACUUCUAGCCACUUUUCACCCUCUGUUUCUUCUCCCAUUUACGAGCCCUCCUUCCACUGGUUCUCAUCUUCUUCUUCAUGAAAGCUAAGGGUAUCUUCAACCUAUCAGAGUCGAAUUGGUUUAUCUCGGAUCCGUUCAGCUCCAGCUACUUGGAUUGAAACCCUACUCGAAGAAGAUGAAGAAGAAGGUUUAAAACCUAACCUUUGUUUAACAUAGCUUCUUAGAGUGUGAACGAGUCGUGACUCGUUCGAGUUCCCAAUUUCUGUUGAUUGUACGAUUAUAGUUUAAUUGGGUGUUUGAAUUGGGUUUUGAAUUCACGAUUAUAGUUUAAUUGGAUAGAUUGAGUGAUAUCUCUUAUAAGAGCUCCUUCCUGAGCAUUGCGCUUCCUGUCAUUCACAUAGUAGACCCUAACAGAAGCCAUGAAGUGCCUAACUAGCUAAGGAUACAAAUCGUACUGCCUAAAACAGAUGGUUCCCAAACUUAUGCCGUUUAGCAAUCCUAAAACAGAUUUCUCUAUCUUCAAACGCUGCAUCAAACCGAAAUCCGCAAUCCGAGUAGGCAAAAUUUCCACAUUCAUCUAGGCAUUAUAGAACAUAGUAUCAUAAUCAUCUCAAUCUGGAGAAAAAGGGCGAUUGAUAUAGUCACUUUUAAUGAAUUCUUUGUUGAUAUCCCUUUCCCAAACUCUUUGAGAAAGAAUCCACUCACUAGGCAAUUUUGGCCAUGGAAAUCGGAAAUCGGAGGUUGAUCUAGGUAUUAUAAAACAUAGUAUCAUAAUCAUCUCAAUCUAGAAAAAGGGCGAUUGAUAUAGUCACUUUUAAUGAAUUCUUUGUUGAUAUCCCUUUCCCAAACUCUUUGAGAAGGAAUCCACGCGCUUCCUGUCAUUUACAUAGUAGACCCUAACAGAAGCCAUGAAGUGCCUAACUAGCUAAAGAUACAAAUCGUACUGCCUAAAACAGAUGGUUCCCAAACUUAUGCCGUUUAGCAAUCCUAAAACAGAUUUCUCUAUCUUCAAACGCUGCAUCAAACCGAAAUCCGUAAUCCGAGUAGGCAAAAUUUCCACAUUCAUCUAGGCAUUAUAGAACAUAGUAUCAUAAUCAUCUCAAUCUGGAGAAAAAGGGCGAUUGAUAUAGUCACUUUUAAUGAAUUCUUUGUUGAUAUCCCUUUCCCAAACUCUUUGAGAAGGAAUCCACUCACUAGGCAAUUUUGGCCAUGGAAAUCGGAAAAUUGGAGGUUGAGGAGCUGCAGCUGAUGAUUCUAGUGGUGGAGGACGAGCGCCGGCGGUGGUGGAGAUGCUCCAGCAAGGAUGAGCGGCGGAGAAAGAAGGUGGUCCGACGUUCUUCCUUGCCUUCUUUUCUGUUCAGCCAUAUUGCAGAUGGAUGAAAUGGAGACUUUGAGAAGAUAGAGGGUGAAAUUCUAAUGAGAUUAGAGCCUGAAAUCACAAGAAACGGUGAAGAAUCAAAGAAUCUAGAGAAGAAGUAAACGCAAAAAACCUUUAAAAUUUGACCAUUGAUUACGAAAGAUCAUCCACGUUUCUAAAGUUAAUUUGAAUACUCAUAACUUAUGUAUAAAUGAUGUUAAUUUAAGCAUUGAACCCAUAUCCAAUAAAUAAGUAUGUAUAAGAAAAUUAAAAUAUUUAAACUCAUUUAGGGGAAAAAGGUUAAAUGGGGUUAAAUUGGUUUGUCUAAUUAAAUCUAUUUAUUAAUUGGGGUUUAACAGAAAUAAUUGAAUACACAAUUAAACCUUUUUCAUAGUUAUCUUUAUUAAACAAAUUAAUAUCUCUAUCGCUAAAAUAAAAGAGUAAAUGAUUAAAUAAAUUAAAACCAAAUUCCGCUAAAAUCGCAAAACCAUAUUUUCAGCCCAAUAGUAAACCCGCAUUUUUCCGUUAAAAUCGCAAAACUAUAUUUUCAGCCAAAAUCUGAGAUUUGAUUUCCCGAUUUUGCAGUUUAUACAUGUACCAUCGACAAUGGAUUUCUAGGGUAAGAGUAUAAGUUCGGUUCUAAAUUAUUCAUUUUUUCUUCUUAUCUUGUUUAUUUUAUUUUUAAAUUCAUUCUUUUAUUUCGAUUUGGGAUAUGUGACUUAUCUGAUAAAGAACUCGUUCAUUUUUUUGUCUUAAUUUUUUUUAUUAGGAGUGGAAGUGAACAAAAAAAAAAUCGCUAAAAUCGCAAAACCAUAUUUUCAGCUUUAUAGUAAACCCGCAUUUUCCGCUAAAAUGGCAAAACUAUAUUUUCAGCCAAAAUCUGAGAUUUGAUUUCCCAAUUUUGUAGUUUAAACAUGUACCAUCAACAAUGGAUUUCUGGGGUAAGAAUAUAAGUUCACUUCUAAAAUUAUUCAUUUUUUAUUCUUAUCGUGUUUAUUUUGUUUU
rnacentral:sRNA from 1 species